GACUUUACCAUUCGAUAACCUCCAUAAAAACCUACUUGCCUUGCUCAGCGUCAAAGCCCUCAUCUCUCUUUGCUCUCCUUGCUAUACUAUAUUAACUCGCAUAAACUGGUUCUCAUUUCUCUCUAGCCACUUGAAACAAGCGCAACAAUGGCAAGCACUGAGGCCGAUCACGAUCACAGAGAAGAUGAUGAUGCCCCUGCCGGCGAGGACGAGGACACUGGAGCUCAUGUCGCUCCUAUUGUCAAGCUCGAGGAGGUCGCCUUCAACACCGGUGAAGAGAACGAAGAUCCCAUUCUCGAUCUGAAAUCCAAGCUCUAUCGAUUCGAUAAGGAGGGGAACCAGUGGAAGGAGAGAGGCGCGGGUACAGUUAAGCUCUUAAAGCACAAGGAAACGGGCAAAGUACGCCUUGUUAUGAGGCAAUCUAAGACUCUCAAGAUCUGCGCCAAUCA
rnacentral:misc_RNA from 1 species